rnacentral:rRNA from 1 species
CCUACGGGUGGCAGCAGUGAGGAAUAUUGGUCAAUGGUCGGGAGACUGAACCAGCCAAGCCGCGUGAGGGAGGAAGGUACAGAGUAUCGUAAACCUCUUUUGUCAGGGAACAAAGACUGGGACGCGUCCCCGGAUGAGUGUACCUGAAGAAAAAGCAUCGGCUAACUCCGUGCCAGCAGCCGCGGUAAUACGGAGGAUGCGAGCGUUAUCCGGAUUUAUUGGGUGUAAAGGGCGUGUAGGCGGGAAUGCAAGUCAGAUGUGAAAACUAUGGGCUCAACCCAUAGCCUGCAUUUGAAACUGUAUUUCUUGAGUGCUGGAGAGGCAAUCGGAAUUCCGUGUGUAGCGGUGAAAUGCGUAGAUAUACGGAGGAACACCAGUGGCGAAGGCGGAUUGCUGGACAGUAACUGACGCUGAGGCGCGAAAGCGUGGGGAGCAAACAGGAUUAGAUACCCCGGUAGUC